ACAGGUAAACUGAUGCGGAAUGGAGAUGCGAGAAAGUCAGUUGUGUGCAUAGAAGGGAACAUUGCUAGUGGAAAGACCACCUGCUUGGAAUACUUAAGCAAAACCUGCGAUAUUGAGAUCAUGAUCUUCAGACAGUGCUGAAACAGUAUGAGGAGAACGGAUAUCGGAUACCGACAGCCAGCAACGGGCAAUUUAAAGGAAAUAACCUGCAAUAGGCUGGGUCCCACAGCACUGCUGCAGCAGAAAUAUACAUAUAUACAAUAUAUAACAAGGAAUUACUUAGCUUAGCAAACUGGGCAAAACAUAAGUAUAUUAAGAGCAAAUUAUAAAAUCAUGAUUGUUCAUAAACUGCUUAUAUAAUAUACAAUUUGCGCAAAUAUUCCAGGGAUGGGGGCUGCCUGACAAUUGACAUUUAGUUGAGUAUGUUUUACUCAAGAGAACAGAGCUCAAGAACGCAUCAUGUGUUAAGACUUGGCAAUGGAAACACAACUGUAGAAUGUUCCCAGAGUCAGACCGCACCAGUGCACUGAUAGAACCUGGUUCGGACACCUUGCCCUUAUUCCAUAGCUGUGCUGUUAGGGCAGGAACGCAGUAGUAACAUGCAUUGGGUGCAAUUUCUUGGCGUUGAGACAUACCAUCUCUUUUAAAAGGACCGCUGUGUUUUGUAUUAGGAAAAAGCUUGCUUGCUUUGCUACGUGAUCAUUUAGAAAAAAAGAGAAAUUCUCUGCAGUGUUACACUUUCAGUAACUGAAGCUAGGAAGGUGACAUAUUUCUUGGUCUCAGGGAGAUCUGUCUUACAUAGUAAGUUGAAAACAUUUAGACAGCUGGCUAGCAUUUUAUCUUAAUGUUUUCUCUGGGGAAUCUCAAGAACUUUUUAUUUUGAGUUUUACUGUUAAAGUCAUUGCAGCUAACACAGUAGGGCCGUACAUGUUCUCUGAUAUACAUAUCCUUUCACAAUAUAGGGCUCAAAUGUUUUGAAAGAAACACAGGGUUUUGCAAAUAUGUAUUUUAAUUUAAGAAUGAUAUCUGGUACUGCACUACCUAAUCAACCAGCUGCUUCCUCAGCCAGUAAUAUGGUUUGACCCAGAAUAUACGGCUGAGGUGACAUGACUGAGGAAGUGGAAAUACAAACAGAUAACCCCAAUAAUAAGCCUUAGAAACAGAGUGCUUCCUUUAACCUAUAGUAGUACCAGAUACUAUGUUUUCAAAUGAAAGUAUGUGAUUCUUUUAAAACUGCACAGUUGAGACCUGUUUAGCCAAUGGAUGUACAAAGCAUGUAAGAUUUAUGAAACUAUUAUUUUUUUAGCUACAAUUGCUUUAAACAAAUUAUUACACUGACCUGGACUAACUAAUGUUUACUGUACUAUUGUACACAGAUAGUAUACUUUUUGGUGUUGGUUAAGACUUAUUGUAAUUUGUGAAGAAUAAAGACACUGUCUGUGCACUGUGGCAAUUGACAUAAACUGUGUAUCCUCUGUGUUGUGUGCGCCAGAUUGAUACUGUAGAGUGAAUACAUUCCAAACACUGUUAUAAGAUGGGUCAAAUCACAUAUUUUAUACGUUCCAUAUGAUACAGGACUAUAGAAAUAGUCUACCCUAAAACAUUCAGUUAAGUAACUCUUACAUUCAAUAUAAGGUAUAAAUACCAAGUAAGCACAGAUGUUUCAGUGAAUGUAUUUAGCAUUUUUAAACUGGUUUUAAAAAUUCUGACUUUUUUGUAACACGUGUAUGCUUUAUUAUAUUUAAUUCAAAUCAGAUUCAAUCACUGUUUUUUCCCCCAUAUUAUAGCUACUUCUUACUAAUGAAUACUGCUGUAUGUACUAUUGCAUCAUCAUGUUUAAACCCUAAAAUGUUAUAAAUGGAAAGUGAACACUGCAGGUGUUAACACAUUAAAUUAAAUGAUAUUAAACUAAUGGGAGUAGGGACCAGACAUUCUGUUUUUAAGAUAUUUAUUGAAAAGAUUUCGCCCAGCUUAAUUAGACCACAGCGCUUAACUUCAUACAAAGCAUCUGCUCCAAGCUUAUCACAUUCACUUCUUUGAGUUACCCUACAGCCCUUUGUCUGCAUUAUUGCCAAAGGUAAAUAAAACCACACAUGUAAACCCUGAUAUGAACCGAUACACUAAAACGUCAUGUAAUAAAAACAGGAUCAAACUCUACUAUUUCAAUUCAGUUUUCAAAUCCGAAUAUACAAAGUUAAUGGUUUUU